GAACUUUUUCUCCUGAUUGUUGCCCUUUGCAGGUAUAAUGCACUCAAGCAGAGCGAGGAAAACAAAAGCAGUGUUUUACACGUCAAGCAGGAGAGCGCGGAAGAGAGUCAUCAAGAAACUAAUGAAGAGACCCCAGUGAAAAAUGGAGACAGUGACGGUCAUCACAUCAUGGGAAAACCAUCAAGUGAAAAAGCAUCUAAAAACUCCAGACUGUGUGCUCUCCUUUAAGGAUUACAUUGCUGCAUUCAACAUCAAUGCAACGCCUCUGUAAAGACCAUUAUUUGUUCCUGAGGAACAUUGAGUAUGU